AGAGUCCACAAGGGGAGCCUGAACUGGCUGAGAGUGAACAAGUUGUUCUGACCCUAUGAACCUGUUAGUUCAUACUUACGUAGGGAUGUGGCUUUUGGAUGGU
rnacentral:ncRNA from 2 species